UGCAUUCUGCUGCUACUGCCCUAACAUAUGAGGAGCAAAUAACACAGGGAAGAGGAGGAUGCCAUCAAGUUCCUCAGGUACAUUUCUUAUGAUUAAAAGCACAAGUUAAUGGUGCCAAGUAAUACUUCAGCAUCUUCUGCAAACUCAUCUCCCAUACUCUUGGAUGAACUUGUUUUCCAUUCAGUAACCUUCUCACAGGCUGACUCUGAGAUGCAAAAUGCUGCACAGGUUUAGGUCCCAGAAGAUUGAAACAGGAACAGUAUCACAGAAAAUAGAGUGGAAAAUGAUCAUCCCAGGUAUUAAGGAUUCAUCUUCAAGCACUUAUGCUCUUCUGCCUAAUCUUCCCUUAUCUCCCGAGUGGCCAUCGAGCAGCCUCUUGGAAUUAAGAGGGCUCAGUGCUAAUAAGCUCAAGAACAGCUCUGGUUUGGAAAUGCCAUGGAAGACUCCUCAGCCUCUCCCAAAGCACCUCCUAGAAUCGCUUCCCUUUGCAGUGCAAUAUCCACAAAUCCCCUGCUGCACACCCAGCUCAUCAGAUGAAGGCAGAGAACAAGCAAACGUCCAGAGGGUGCAGGUUAGGAACACUGGUCCCACAUUGCUUGCUGCCCUGGAUGGAAGCCAGGACUCACAGAGUGAAAGGGCUGAGUGCUCACCCGAAAGCUGCUGCCUUCAAAGCAACAGGUAUGGGAGACAUUGACUGAAGCUUUUACCCUUCUCUUGUGGGGGGAGCUGGGCUGGUUGGGGCUUUACUGGGCUGCAGGGCUGCAAAGCUCCUCUGCACUCACAUGGGCUCAGGAGAAGAUUUCCUGCACACAAAUCCUAGUCAAACCGGGAAAUCUCUUGUGCUGGUUUUGUGCCUCUGUAAUUACAAGCUGCCUGUCUGGCAGCUUGAGCAGAUCCUUUCAGCAUUACUAAAAGCAAUAAAGAGUUGGAAAGAAAAGACGAGAAAGGACAAUGUGGAUUUUUGCAAGGGGAGAGAGCAGGAAGGGCCAGGAGAGUGUCAGGAAAGCCAGAGAGGGACAUUUUGGCUAUAUCCUCA
rnacentral:lncRNA from 1 species